UACAGAGGUCCCAAGCGUUGUUCGGAUUCAUUGGGCGUAAAGGGUGCGUAGGUGGCGUCGUAAGUCGGGUGUGAAAUCUCGGGGCUUAACUCCGAAACUGCAUUCGAUACUGCGGAUCUUGAGUUCGGGAGAGGUGAGUGGAACUGCGAGUGUAGAGGUGAAAUUCGUAGAUAUUCGCAAGAACACCAGUGGCGAAGGCGGCUCACUGGCCCGAUACUGACGCUGAGGCACGAAAGCGUGGGGAGCAAACAGG
rnacentral:rRNA from 1 species